AUUGAACGCUGGCGGCAUGCUUUACGCAUGCAAGUCGAACGGUAACAGGCCGCAAGGUGCUGACGAGUGGCGAACGGGUGAGUAAUGCAUCGGAACGUGCCCAGUCGUGGGGGAUAACGCAGCGAAAGCUGCGCUAAUACCGCAUACGAUCUAUGGAUGAAAGCGGGGGACCGUAAGGCCUCGCGCGAUUGGAGCGGCCGAUGUCAGAUUAGGUAGUUGGUGGGGUAAAGGCUCACCAAGCCAACGAUCUGUAGCUGGUCUGAGAGGACGACCAGCCACACUGGGACUGAGACACGGCCCAGACUCCUACGGGAGGCAGCAGUGGGGAAUUUUGGACAAUGGGCGCAAGCCUGAUCCAGCAAUGCCGCGUGCAGGAAGAAGGCCUUCGGGUUGUAAACUGCUUUUGUACGGAACGAAAAGGCUCUGGUUAAUACCUGGGGCUCAUGACGGUACCGUAAGAAUAAGCACCGGCUAACUACGUGCCAGCAGCCGCCGUAAUAC
rnacentral:rRNA from 1 species